rnacentral:rRNA from 2 species
UGGGGGUGCUUGAAGUUCGUGACCGCAAGGAGCGACCUAGGGCAAAACCGGUGACUGGGGCUAAGUCGUAACAAGGUAGCCGUACCGGAAGGUGCGGCUGGAACACCUCCUUUCUGGAG